rnacentral:rRNA from 1 species
GUGCCAGCAGCCGCGGUAAUACGAGGGGGGCAAGCGUUGUUCGGAAUUAUUGGGCGUAAAGGGCGCGUAGGCGGUUUGACAAGUCUUAUGUGAAAUCUCUGGGCUCAACCCAGAGUCUGCAUGGGAAACUGUCGGGCUUGAGUAUGGGAGAGGUGAGUGGAAUUUCCGGUGUAGCGGUGAAAUGCGUAGAUAUCGGAAGGAACACCUGUGGCGAAAGCGGCUCACUGGACCAUAACUGACGCUGAGGCGCGAAAGCUAGGGGAGCAAACAGGAUUAGAAACCCCCGUAGUCC